GUGCUUGUUUUGACAACAUAUAUACUAAUAUUAGAACAGUGCAGAGAGAACAAGCAUGAGCCUUGGACUACAUGAAGAUUAUGAAGAGUUUGAUGUUUUU
rnacentral:snRNA from 1 species